rfam:Oryza glaberrima chromosome 2 Oglab02_0160_4, whole genome shotgun sequence.
AAUAAGUACAGCCGUGGGUAUCCGUGUCCAACGUUUGACCGUUCGUCUUAUUUGAAAAAUUUAUGAAAAAAUUAAAAAAAUAGUCAUACAUAAAGUACUAUUCAUGUUUUAUCAUCUAAUAAUAAUAAAAAUACUAAUCAUAAAAAAAUUUCAAAUAAGACAAACGGUUAAACGUUGGACGUGAACAGU